rnacentral:rRNA from 1 species
AGAGUUUGAUCCUGGCUCAGGAUGAACGCUGGCGGCGUGCCUAACACAUGCAAGUCGAACGGAGUUAUUCGCUGAUGAAGCUUCGGCAGAAUCUUGAAUAACUUAGUGGCGGACGGGUGAGUAACGCGUGGGUAACCUGCCUCAUACAGGGGGAUAGCAGUUGGAAACGACUGAUAACACCGCAUAAGCGCACAGUGUCGCAUGACACAGUGUGAAAAUAUUUAUAGGUAUGAGAUGGACCCGCGUCUGAUUAGCUAGUUGGUGAGGUAACGGCCCACCAAACCGACGAUGGGUAGGGGUUCUGAGAGGAAGGUCCCCCACAAUGGAACUGAGACACGGUCCAUACUCCUACGGGAGGCAGCAGUGAGGAAUAUUGGUCAAUGGGCGGAAGCCUGAACCAGCCAUGCCGCGUGCAGGAAUAAGGCCCUACGGGUCGUAAACUGCUUUUGUACGGGAGCAAUAAGGGCCACGUGUGACCUGAUGAGAGUACCGUACGAAUAAGCAUCGGCUAACUCCGUGCCAGCAGCCGCGGUAAUACGGAGGAUGCGAGCGUUAUCCGGAUUCAUUGGGUUUAAAGGGUGCGUAGGCGGCGUGCCAAGUCAGGGGUGAAAGGUUCCGGCUCAACUGGGACAGUGCCUUUGAUACUGGUGUGCUGGAGUGCGCUUGCCGUGGGAGGAAUGAGUGGUGUAGCGGUGAAAUGCUUAGAUAUCACUCAGAACACCGAUUGCGAAGGCAUCUCACGAAGGCGUAACUGACGCUGAGGCACGAAAGCGUGGGGAUCAAACAGGAUUAGAUACCCUGGUAGUCCACGCCGUAAACGAUGAUGACUAACCGCCGGUCCGUUAGGGUCGGUGGCCAAGCGAAAGCGAUAAGUCAUCCACCUGGGGAGUACGACCGCAAGGUUGAAACUCAAAGGAAUUGACGGGGGCCCGCACAAGCGGAGGAACAUGUGGUUUAAUUCGAUGAUACGCGAGGAACCUUACCCGGGCUCGAACGGCAAGUGAAGAGAGACAGAGAUGUUGACGUCCUUCGGGACACUUGUCGAGGUGCUGCAUGGUUGUCGUCAGCUCGUGCCGUGAGGUGUCGGCUCAAGUGCCAUAACGAGCGCAACCCCUGCUUCCAGUUACCAGCACGUAAAGGUGGGGACUCUGGAGGGACUGCCACCGCAAGGUGAGAGGAAGGGGAGGAUGACGUCAAAUCAGCACGGCCCUUACGUCCGGGGCGACACACGUGUUACAAUGGCGGCCACAGAGGGAAGCUACCCUGCGAGGGGAUGCGGAUCUCGAAAAGCCGUCUCAGUUCGGAUCGGAGUCUGCAACUCGACUCCGUGAAGCUGGAUUCGCUAGUAAUCGCGCAUCAGCCAUGGCGCGGUGAAUACGUUCCCGGGCCUUGUACACACCGCCCGUCAAGCCAUGGAAGCCGGGGGCGCCUGAAGUUCGUGACCGCGAGGAGCGACCUAGGGCGAAACUGGUAACUGGGGCUAAGUCGUAACAAGGUAACC